rnacentral:rRNA from 1 species
AUUGAACGCUGGCGGCAGGCCUAACACAUGCGAGUCGAGCGGAUGAAGGGAGCUUGCUCCUGGAUUCAGCGGCGGACGGGUGAGUAAUGCCUAGGAAUCUGCCUGGUAGUGGGGGAUAACGUCCGGAAACGGGCGCUAAUACCGCAUACGUCCUGAGGUAGAAAGUGGGGGAUCUUCGGACCUCACGCUAUCAGAUGAGCCUAGGUCGGAUUAGCUAGUUGGUGGGGUAAAGGCCUACCAAGGCGACGAUCCGUAACUGGUCUGAGAGGAUGAUCAGUCACACUGGAACUGAGACACGGUCCAGACUCCUACGGGAGGCAGCAGUGGGGAAUAUUGGACCAUGGGCGCAAGCCUGAUCCAGCCAUGCCGAGUGUGUGAAGAAGGUCUUCGGAUUGUAAAGCACUUUAAGUUGGGAGGAAGGGCAGUAAGUUAAUACCUUGCUGUUUUGACGUUACCAACAGAAUAAGCACCGGCUAACUUCGUG